GGAAUAUUGGUCAAUGGACGCAAGUCUGAACCAGCCAUGCCGCGUGCAGGAUGACGGUCCUAUGGAUUGUAAACUGCUUUUGCACAGGAAGAAACAACGCUACGUGUAGCGUCUUGACGGUACUGUGAGAAUAAGGAUCGGCUAACUCCGUGCCAGCAGCCGCGGUAAUACGGAGGAUCCAAGCGUUAUCCGGAAUCAUUGGGUUUAAAGGGUCCGUAGGCGGUCAGAUAAGUCAGUGGUGAAAGCCCAUCGCUCAACGGUGGAACGGCCAUUGAUACUGUCUGACUUGAAUUAUUAGGAAGUAACUAGAAUAUGUAGUGUAGCGGUGAAAUGCUUAGAGAUUACAUGGAAUACCAAUUGCGAAGGCAGGUUACUACUAAUAUAUUGACGCUGAUGGACGAAAGCGUGGGUAGCGAACAGGAUUAGAUACCCUGG
rnacentral:rRNA from 1 species